UUUACUCUGAAUUCACAAAGAGUGGAGUGGAGCCGAGCCUCAACGGUACUGCUUUUUUUUCCUUUUUUUCUUUUUCCUGUUACCGUUAGUAAAAGCACCAUUCCACAUUCUUAUAAAUGGGCAGUUUAUUUGAGCAGCAUGGGCAGAUUGUUCCCCGUUCAUUUUUUUCGUUUGUUUGUUUAGUUUGCUAUGGCAUGGCCGUGCCUGCUCUUAUUUUCGUUUUUUUGGGGUGUCUGGUUUUUUCCCUUUUUCAAUUUUCAUGAUAUUUUUUAUAUGUUUUGUCUGUGGAUGGGGAAUUUUGAAUGGGGCACAGAGGAGAGCAAUAGUGAGGAGAGCUAUACAUCCUAGCAAGUGGCUGAUUGGAGUUGCACUGUUGUAGCGAAGAAAAUACUGUCAUGUAGGAUUAUAUUUGCAGUCGCAUUUCUUUAUGUGUUUCCUCUAAUAUGCAAGGAGGUUUCAGCAGCACCAUAUGGAAUUCAAAGAGGGGCUCAACAAUAUUUGGGGUCUCGGAUAGCUCUCUGGCUUGACAGGCACUCAGGAUCUUUACUCCGCUAUACACCCUGGAUUCUCUAAAGGCACAUUCAUAGUUUUAAGCCUAUUUACUGGAUGUGGAUAUCAGUUCAAAUGUUUAACUUCCUGGCUAACACAUCUUGAGGGCAUAUGUUCCCCUAGCUGAGAUGUGGAUGCUGCAAGAUAUGAAUCAGGUAGAAUUUCCACUUAACAUCAUUAACUGAUAUCAUUGCUACUGACAAUAAAGUUAAGUGCCAUAACUAAUAGAAAAUUGAAAUUUAAGUCC